rnacentral:rRNA from 1 species
CAGUCGCCGCGGUAAUACAGAGGGUGCGAGCGUUAAUCGGAUUUACUGGGCGUAAAGCGUGCGUAGGCGGCUUUUUAAGUCGGAUGUGAAAUCCCUGAGCUUAACUUAGGAAUUGCAUUCGAUACUGGGAAGCUAGAGUAUGGGAGAGGAUGGUAGAAUUUCAGGUGUAGCGGUGAAAUGCGUAGAGAUCUGGAGGAAUACCGAUGGCGAAGGCAGCCAUCUGGCCUAAUACUGACGCUGAGGUACGAAAGCAUGGGGAGCAAACAGGAUUAGAUACCCCUGUAGUCCCUGUCUCUUAUAC